rnacentral:rRNA from 1 species
GACGAACGCUGGCGGCGUGCCUAAUACAUGCAAGUAGAACGCUGAAGGAGGAGCUUGCUUCUCUGGAUGAGUUGCGAACGGGUGAGUAACGCGUAGGUAACCUGCCUGGUAGCGGGGGAUAACUAUUGGAAACGAUAGCUAAUACCGCAUAAGAGUAGAUGUUGCAUGACAUUUGCUUAAAAGGUGCAAUUGCAUCACUACCAGAUGGACCUGCGUUGUAUUAGCUAGUUGGUGAGGUAACGGCUCACCAAGGCGACGAUACAUAGCCGACCUGAGAGGGUGAUCGGCCACACUGGGACUGAGACACGGCCCAGACUCCUACGGGAGGCAGCAGUAGGGAAUCUUCGGCAAUGGACGGAAGUCUGACCGAGCAACGCCGCGUGAGUGAAGAAGGUUUUCGGAUCGUAAAGCUCUGUUGUAAGAGAAGAACGAGUGUGAGAGUGGAAAGUUCACACUGUGACGGGAUCUUACCAGAAAGGGACGGCUAACUACGU